GGAGAGGUGCCAGAGCGGUUGAAUGGGCCGGUCUCGAAAACCGGUGAGGCCUCCGGGUCUCCGUGGGUUCGAAUCCCACCCUCUCCG
rnacentral:tRNA from 1 species